GAUGAAGAACGUAGCGAAAUGCGAUAAGUAGUGUGAAUUGCAGAAUUCAGUGAAUCAUCGAAUCUUUGAACGCACAUUGCGCCCCCUGGUAUUCCGGGGGGCAUGCCUGUUCGAGCGUCAUUUCACCACUCAAGCCUCGCUUGGUAUUGGGCAACGCGGUCCGCCGCGUGCCUCAAAUCGACCGGCUGGGUCUUCUGUCCCCUAAGCGUUGUGGAAACUUUCGCUAAAGGGUGUUCGGGAGGCUACUCCGUAAAACAACCCCAUUUCUAAGGUUGACCUCGGAUCAGGUAGGGAUACCCGCUGAACUUAAGCAUAUCAAUAAGCGGAGGA
rnacentral:misc_RNA from 1 species